rnacentral:misc_RNA from 1 species
UACCCCCUCAAGCCUUGCUUGGUGUUGGACUCCGCCCCCGCCGCUUGCGCGAGGGCGCCGUCCAAAAGUCAUCGGCGCCCGUCGCCGGCCCCAGCGUUGUGGAAUCAUCCGCUGUGGCCCGGCCGACGUGGUUGCCUCGCACCCAUCAGUACC